AGAACGAACGCUGGCGGCAGGCCUAAUACAUGCAAGUCGAACGCACUCUUCGGAGUGAGUGGCAGACGGGUGAGUAACGCGUGGGAACCUUCCCAAUGGUACGGAAUAACUCCGGGAAACCGGUGCUAAUACCGUAUAAGCCCCUCGGGGGAAAGAUUUAUCGCCAUUGGAUGGGCCCGCGUCGGAUUAGCUAGUUGGUAAGGUAAUGGCUUACCAAGGCUACGAUCCGUAGCUGGUCUGAGAGGAUGAUCAGCCACACUGGGACUGAGACACGGCCCAGACUCCUACGGGAGGCAGCAGUAGGGAAUCUUGGACAAUGGGCGAAAGCCUGAUCCAGCCAUGCCGCGUGAGUGAAGAAGGCCUUAGGGUUGUAAAGCUCUUUUGGCGGGGACGAGUAAUGACGGUACCCGCAGAAUAAGCCCCGGCUAACUUCGUGCCAGCAGCCGC
rnacentral:rRNA from 1 species